UGAGACGACCAUAAUAGUCUGGUAAUACCUGAUCCCGUUCCGAUCUCAGAAGUCAAGCAGGCUAUGUUAUUGGCAUUAGUUUUCGAAAGAAAGUGAAACCUCUAAGUUGUCUCAU
rnacentral:rRNA from 1 species